rnacentral:sRNA from 2 species
GCGCCCGUCAUUGGGGAGUAGCCUCCUUGCCCUCGGGUGCAAGGGCCUGCGUCAACACACUUGCCUACGGGCAUGGCGCAGGCGGUCCAGGACUUGGCAAGACCUUUGAUCGUGCAGCUUCCGGUGGGCCGGGGCUGUUGCACGAUCAUUCGGUCAACCGUCCGGC